rnacentral:tRNA from 1 species
GCCGGGGUUGCCGAGUGGUAAGGCGGUGGUCUGCUAACAGUGGGCAGAGUAAUUAAAGGUGGAUAACCACUGGGCUCUGCCCGCGUGGGUUCGAAUCCCACCCCCGGCG